CGCGUAGGCGGCCUGCUAAGUCUGGAGUGAAAGUCCUGCUUUCAAGGUGGGAAGUGCUUUGGAUACUGGUGGGCUGGAGUGCAGGAGAGGAAAGCGGAAUUCCUAGUGUAGCGGUGAAAUGCGUAGAUAUUAGGAGGAACACCAGUGGCGAAGGCGGCCUGCUGGACUGUUACUGACACUGAGGCACGAAAGCGUGGGGAGCAAACA
rnacentral:rRNA from 1 species